rnacentral:rRNA from 1 species
AUGACAGGGUGUAAAAACCUAGAGUCCCUUCCAGAGAGCCUUGGAAGCCUUCAAAACCUACAAACAUUGGACCUCACAGGGUGUAAAAAACUAGAGUCCCUUCCAGAUAGCCUUGAAAGCCUAAAAAACUUUCAUAAGCUUGUCUUCUGUUGCAUACGGCUUGAGCCCGGUCUAGAGAGAGUUGGAAGCCUCGAACGUCUUAGAACACCACACCUCUCUUACCAUUCAUCACUGAAGUCCCUUCCAAUGAGCCUUGGAGACCUAAACAACCUUUGUACACUUGACCUCUCAUGGUGCAAUAAACUAGAGUCCCUCCCAGAGAACCUUGGCAGCCUAAAGAACCUUCAAACACUGGACCUCUCACACUGCUGUGCAUUGAAGUCCAUUCCAGAGAGCCUUGAAGGCCUCAAAAACCUUCAAACCUUAGCCCUCUCACACUGCUUGGCAUUGAAGUGCAUUCCAGAGAGCCUUGGAAGCCUCAACAACCUUCAAACCCUGGCCCUCUCGCACUGCUUGAAAUUGAAGUGCAUUCCAGAGAGCCUUGGGAGCCUCGUCAACCUAAAAACACUCGACCUCUCAAAAUGCAUUGAACUAAAGUCCCUUCCAGAGAGCGUUGGAAGCCUCAAAAACCUCCAAACACUCGACCUCUCAAAAUGCUAUGCACUAAAGUCCCUUCCAGAGAGCCUCGGAAGCCUCAAAAGCCUUCAAACACUCUGA